rnacentral:rRNA from 1 species
AUUGGACAUGGGGGCANCCUGAUCCUUCAAUGCCGCGUGUGCGAAGAACGCCUUCGGGUUGUAAAGCACUUUUGUCAGGGAAGAAAUCUUUUGGGCGAAUACCCCGAGAAGGAUGACGGUACCUGAAGAAUAAGCACCGGCUAACUACGUGCCAGCAGCCGCGGUAAUACGUAGGGUGCAAGCGUUAAUCGGAAUUACUGGGCGUAAAGCGUGCGCAGGCGGUUCGCUAAGACAGUCGUGAAAUCCCCGGGCUUAACCUGGGAACUGCGAUUGUGACUGGCGAGCUAGAGUACGGCAGAGGGGGGUGGAAUUCCUGGUGUAGCAGUGAAAUGCGUAGAGAUCAGGAGGAACACCGAUGGCGAAGGCAGCCCCCUGGGCUAGUACUGACGCUCAUGCACGAAAGCGUGGGGAGCAAACAGGAUUAGAUACCCUGGUAGUCCACGCCCUAAACGAUGUCGAUUAGUUGUUGGUUCUUCAUUGAAUCAGUAACGAAGCUAACGCGUGAAAUCGACCGCCUGGGGAGUACGGUCGCAAGAUUAAAACUCAAAGGACUUUGACGGGGACCCGCACAAGCGGUGGAUGCAUGUGGAUUACUUCGAUGCAACGCGAAAAACCUUACUACCCUUGACAUGGUCGGAAUCUGCAGAGAUGCGGG